rnacentral:rRNA from 1 species
GACGAACGCUGGCGGCGUGCUUAACACAUGCAAGUCGAACGGAAAGGCCCCUUUGGGGGUACUCGAGUGGCGAACGGGUGAGUAACACGUGAGUAACCUGCCCUUGACUUCGGGAUAACUUCAGGAAACUGGGGCUAAUACCGGAUAGGAAUCCUUGCUGCAUGGUGGGGGUUGGAAAGCUUCGGCGGUUUUGGAUGGACUCGCGGCUUAUCAGCUUGUUGGUGGGGUAGUGGCUUACCAAGGCUUUGACGGGUAGCCGGCCUGAGAGGGCGACCGGCCACAUUGGGACUGAGAUACGGCCCAGACUCCUACGGGAGGCAGCAGUGGGGAAGAUUGCACAAUGGGCGGAAGCCUGAUGCAGCAACGCCGCGUGCGGGAUGACGGCCUUCGGGUUGUAAACCGCUUUCAGCAGGGGCGAAGCUUGUGGUGACGGUACCUGCAGAAGAAGCACCGGCUAACUACGUG